UCGCUCCUACCGAUUGAAUGCUCAGGUGAGCCAUUCGGACCUUCAUCAUGCCGGUUUCCGGUUUUGAUGAGGGAAAGUCUUGCGAACCUUAUCAUUUAGAGGAAGGAG
rnacentral:rRNA from 1 species